rnacentral:rRNA from 1 species
AUUGAACGCUGGCGGCAGGCCUAACACAUGCAAGUCGAACGAGCGGCGGACGGGUGAGUAAUGUCUGGGAAUCUGCCCGAUGGAGGGGGAUCACUACUGGAAACGGUAGCUAAUACCGCAUACUAUCGGAUGUGCCCCUAUGGGAUAAGCUAGUAGGUGGGGUAAUGGCUCACCUAGGCGACGAUCCCUAGCGUGUCUGAGAGGAUGACCAGCCACACUGGAACUGAGACACGGACCAGACUACUACGGUAGGCAGAAGUGGGGAAUAUUGCACAAUGGGCGCAAGCCUGAUGCAGCCAUGCCGCGUGUAUGAAGAAGGCCUUAGGGUUGUAAAGUACUUUCAGCGAGGAGGCGUUACUCGCAGAAGAAGCACCGGCUAACUCCGUGCCAGCCGCCGCGGUAAUAC